AAACUUUAAGAGCUAUAGAUUGGCUAAUAAGGAGGUCAAGAAAGUAGUAAGAGAGAUUAAGUUGAAAGCUUAUGAUAACCUAUACACUAGACUAGAUAGUAAGGAGGGAGAGAAGAGGGUAUACAAAUUUACUAGGAUACGGGAGAGGAAACCAAAAGAUUUUAAUCAAGUUAAAUGCAUCAAGAGUGAGGAUUCUAAGGUAUUGGUGGAGGAUGAAGAGAUUAAGGAAAGAUGGAAGAAUUAUUUUCAGAAACUAUUAAAUGAGGAACAUGGAAGUACAACAAUAUGAGAAGAAAUAACCAGUAAUACGAUACACCAAGAUUAUAGGUUCUAUCGUAGGAUUAAGAACUUUGAAGUAGAGAUUGCACUGAAGAAGAUGAAAUCAAAUAAGGCUUUAAGACCCGAUGAUAUCCCUAUUGAAACUUAGCUUGAUUGACUAGGUGGUUUAGCAAAAUUUUGUUGACUAGGAACAUGCCAGAUGAGUGGAGAAAAAGUAUUUUAAUGCCAAUUUAUAAGAAUAAAAGAGAUGUCUAGAAUUGCAACAACUAUAGAGGAAUCAAGCUAAUUUGUCAUAUAAUGACAGUGUGGAGGAGGGUGAUAGAAUGCCGAUUGCGAGAUAUAAUAGAGGUGUCAGAGAAUCAAUUUGGAUUUAUGUUUGGUAAGUCAAGAAUGGAAGCGAUCUAUCUUUUGAGGAGAGCAAUAAAAACGUAUAAAGAAAAGAAAAGAAAAGAGACAUUCAUAUGAUGUUUAUCGAUUUUGAGAAAGCAUAUAAUAGAGUGUCCCGAAAUAUAAUAUGGUGGGUGUUAGAGAAGAAAGGGGUGACAAAAGGUUACAUUGACGUAAUUAGGGACAUGUAUGAAGGGGUGGUGACCAUUAUUAGAUCGCCUGCUGGAGAGACGAAUGAAUUUUCUAUUAUUGUAGGGUUACACCCAAGGUUGUUAAGAUCGCGAUCCGGAUCGUAUGAUCCUACGAUCCAAUAUACAUCAUUCGAUCCGACUCGUGCUUUGGAUCGACCCCAAAUCAAGAUCGUGAAAGGAUCGUUGGGAUUGGUGGGAUCGUAUCUGGAUCGUGACUCCAUGCGAUCCAGAUUUGAAGGGUUUUUUCUCAACUUGAAAGCAAAAUCAGGAGCAAAAAAAAGAGAGGCAGAGAAACAAAGCAAGCAGACUUGCGAUUAGGGCAAUACAACUUGGGGAAAGAGAAAUUCAACAACAAAUUUCAGAUUUUGCAGCCACAAACCAGAUUUCUAGAAUGGUGAAGCUUCAAACUCUCAAUGUCGGUGAUGAUGAUGAUGAUGAUGAUGGCGGUGGUGGUGAUGUGGCAAUGAUUAAUGUUGAUUGUGGCAAUAAUGAUGAUAAUUUCGGCGACCAUAAUAACUUAUUUUAGUCUUUUAUUUGUUCUUUCUUCAUUAGUUUGUUUUGUUUUUAUUAAGAAACAAUGACAAUGGUGUGCAAGUGUUAGUAUUUGCCUUUAUUAUGUUUUUGACUUCUU